CAUGUGCUAGCACAGUGAUUACUAUAGAGGGAAAAAGAAGCUGCCAUAUCCCAAAAUUUGAAAUUCUGGGGCCAGAAUUUCUGCAAGCACAGGGUCAGCCACAGCCAGGGUUCAACUUAGAUGUAUGGAAAUUAUAACUGCUUUGUGUUUUUUGGGGAAAAGAUGACAUUUGGGGGAGGGUGUCUUAUUGUUAGCAAUCAGAAAUUGUUCUUGGAUGUAGGACAAAGACCAAGGUACCUGAAAUUGAAUCUUUUGAGCCUUUCUCAGAAUUUUAAAGGUCCCGAGCCAUGGGGUUGUACCUAUCCCACUUGUGUCACCUCCUAUCUCAGCAAUUUGCAUGUGCCUUGUCAGUGCAAGCCAUGUAAGCCAGUCCCUGGACACAAGAGGCAGUCAAAAAAUGGAAUAAUUGCUAACAAACCAGCAGAGCUGGCUCAGGGUUUCAAGAGAGACAAUUAAAGAUAUUGCAUUGUUUCCAUCAAAAGGAGAAAUGGACCUGGGGGUUCCCUAAUAGCCCUCCUGGUUCAGCACUGUGCUCUUGGAGCAUGUUGUUGUGGGUUGCAUUUAUUAUAAGCCACUUACUAUUAUCCCUAAUUAUUUAGCUGGGGGGAGGUCUCUCACUAACAGGCGAAUUUGUGACUUGAUGAACACUCAGCUGUCUGUAUUUAAGAUAAAAUUACAGUAAUUAACAAAUCGAUCAACCCUACUUUUGCUUUGCUGGCUGGGACAGAACAAAUGGGCUAAAUGAGACCUAUUUAGCAUAAAGGUAGAGAAAGGGCUUUGCAGACCUCAGGAUACACAGGCUUGAAGCUUUUUCACACACUGCUUUCAAUGAAAGGUGCUGGUGUAGGCAGUGAGAUUCGGGAUCUGUGAUGGAGGAGACCUGGAACGACCAUCCUCUGUGUGUUCCCUCCGACUGAGAAAAUGGAGGCAUUUUCUUUUACGGAUUAGCUAGUGGGUCAAGUGACAGCAGGAAGAAGUCGUGUGUCUGCCUGCCUCUGCCGAGUGGGAACAGGAGUUUUGAGAUGUCUCUUUGGAUUUACGCUGUUCCAGCCCUUGCAGGUUUUGCAGCUGGAAAACGUGCUCCCUGUGGCAGAGCUCUGGAGCGACCUCCCACCUGUGAAAUCCACCCGGAGAUUUGCUAACUCCAGCACCUUCUGCUCAGGGUUCAUCAAAGGCCUUUCCCUGCCUGGAUGUCCUUGCUGGAAAGACUUGAGCCUGGAGCAUCCCCAGCCGGGAAGAAUGGAGCACCACGAGGGGCGGAUUCGGUUCUGGUGUUGGUCUCAUGGCAAGGAGGGACCAAAAGCAAGCAUCUUGUAGCAUCUUGUCGUUCGGCUGCGAGAAAGGUGCUGGGAACCCCGGCGUUCACCCAGGCUCUGCAUUUGCUCCUCUGCUGGGUACGUGCUGCUGUGCUUCUGGACAGCCAGCCCAGCACCCUGCUGGGCUUUCUCUCCCUUCCUUACAGAAACCUUGUCUUCAGCAGGCACUUCUUCCUCCCGUGUCCGCUCACAAUCAGAGAAGAAGCUGCAGUCCUUGUUUUGCCUGCCCUGCAUCUUUAUAGAUUAACGUGGUGCUUCUGCCUGCCGUAAUCUGAUGAGGAGUGUGAGGUACUGGCAUCCAGAAGUCAAAGUGAUGGGUGCUUUGCGGAUGUCUGGGUAUCUAAAAAUAGAGGCAGAAGACAGAGCUGCUCGUGUGUUUUAAGCAGAAGAACAAGCAAUGAAAGCUUUUCCAGAAACGCUUGAGGGAGUAGCAGACUUUCCAUUUAAGGCUGUAUUAUUUCAUUGGAUAAUCUGAUUAAACAUGCAGGUUAUGUGAGGACUUGAUUCAAGCCUCCGUAGAAACUGCUGUGUAUAUGUGGAAGUGGCAUCACAAUCAACUACAUGCGAGGGAGAGUCACGGUAAACACUUUUCUUGAGGCUGUUGCUCUGGAGAAAUUGGUGGCAGAUGCGUUGUGCCACCGUUUGGAUAAAAGGGCUCUUCUCUCCCCGAUGAAUUGCUUUAUGAACAGCUCUGAAUUGUCCUUUUCCGAAAUAAUUGAUUAAAUCUGAGUCAUCGGUA